rnacentral:rRNA from 1 species
CGGAGGGGGCUAGCGUUGUUCGGAAUUACUGGGCGUAAAGGGCUCGUAGGUGGCCAACUAAGUCAGACGUGAAAUCCCUCAGCUUAACUGGGGAACUGCGUCUGAUACUGGAUGGCUUGGAUUCGGGAGAGGAAUGCGGAAUUCCAGGUGUAGCGGUGAAAUGCGUAGAUAUCUGGAGGAACACCGGUGGCGAAGGCGGCAUUCUGGACCGACAUUGACGCUGAGGAGCGAAAGCCAGGGGAGCAAACGGG